rnacentral:tRNA from 1 species
AAUCCCGUAGUUUAAAAAAAAACAUUAAAUUGCAAAUUUGAAAAAGAUGAACUUCCAGGAUUU